rnacentral:siRNA from 1 species
AUCAUUCAAUGCCACUUACUUGUG